UUGAACGCUGGCGGCAGGCCUAACACAUGCAAGUCGAGCGGUAACACAGAGAGCUUGCUCUCGGGUGACGAGCGGCGGACGGGUGAGUAAUGUCUGGGAAACUGCCUGAUGGAGGGGGAUAACUACUGGAAACGGUAGCUAAUACCGCAUAACGUCGCAAGACCAAAGUGGGGGACCUUCGGGCCUCAUGCCAUCAGAUGUGCCCAGAUGGGAUUAGCUAGUAGGUGGGGUAACGGCUCACCUAGGCGACGAUCCCUAGCUGGUCUGAGAGGAUGACCAGCCACACUGGAACUGAGACACGGUCCAGACUCCUACGGGAGGCAGCAGUGGGGAAUAUUGCACAAUGGGCGCAAGCCUGAUGCAGCCAUGCCGCGUGUGUGAAGAAGGCCUUCGGGUUGUAAAGCACUUUCAGCGGGGAGGAAGGCGGUGAGGUUAAUAACCUCACCGAUUGACGUUACCCGCAGAAGAAGCACCGGCUAACUCCGUGCCAGCAGCCGCGGUAAUACGGAGGGUGCAAGCGUUAAUCGGAAUUACUGGGCGUAAAGCGCACGCAGGCGGUCUGUCAAGUCGGAUGUGAAAUCCCCGGGCUCAACCUGGGAACUGCAUUCGAAACUGGCAGGCUAGAGUCUUGUAGAGGGGGGUAGAAUUCCAGGUGUAGCGGUGAAAUGCGUAGAGAUCUGGAGGAAUACCGGUGGCGAAGGCGGCCCCCUGGACAAAGACUGACGCUCAGGUGCGAAAGCGUGGGGAGCAAACAGGAUUAGAUACCCUGGUAGUCCACGCCGUAAACGAUGUCGAUUUGGAGGUUGUGCCCUUGAGGCGUGGCUUCCGGAGCUAACGCGUUAAAUCGACCGCCUGGGGAGUACGGCCGCAAGGUUAAAACUCAAAUGAAUUGACGGGGGCCCGCACAAGCGGUGGAGCAUGUGGUUUAAUUCGAUGCAACGCGAAGAACCUUACCUGGUCUUGACAUCCCUCUGACCGACUCUUAACCGAGUCUUUCCUUCGGGACAGAGGAGACAGGUGGUGCAUGGUUGUCGUCAGCUCGUGUCGUGAGAUGUUGGGUUAAGUCCCGCAACGAGCGCAACCCUUAUCCUUUGUUGCCAGCGGUUAGGCCGGGAACUCAAAGGAGACUGCCAGUGAUAAACUGGAGGAAGGUGGGGAUGACGUCAAGUCAUCAUGGCCCUUACGACCAGGGCUACACACGUGCUACAAUGGCAUAUACAAAGAGAAGCGACCUCGCGAGAGCAAGCGGACCUCAUAAAGUAUGUCGUAGUCCGGAUUGGAGUCUGCAACUCGACUCCAUGAAGUCGGAAUCGCUAGUAAUCGUAGAUCAGAAUGCUACGGUGAAUACGUUCCCGGGCCUUGUACACACCGCCCGUCACACCAUGGGAGUGGGUUGCAAAAGAAGUAGGUAGCUUAACCUUCGGGAGGGCGCUUACCACUUUGUGAUUCAUGACUGGGGUG
rnacentral:rRNA from 1 species